rnacentral:ncRNA from 24 species
AAAUAACUCUUCGGUAAUCAUGAAGUCGUGAAGCCGCGAUUUUAAUGUCUAUUAGGAAAAAUCCCAAUAAACAUAAGCGAACUAAUAAUAAAAAGAGAUUAUUGUCUGGUUUUUUUAUUUAGCGCGAGAGAUUCUACAGAUAGUUUUUAAUAGGAUGAUAUUUAACGUAUUCCUGUUAAUCGUCCGGCUACGCAGUUCAUGCUUUUCACUCGAUAUUCACGUUUAUAAAAACAACAAAGCACGCUUUUUUUGCUCAAAAAUAUCUUGUCGGAAGGAGAUCGUGUGCGGUGACACCGCACACGAUUGACACAAAGCAGGGUUAAAUCGGAGAUGAGAAUCGAGAUCGGAGGA